rnacentral:rRNA from 1 species
GAUGAACGCUGGCGGCGUGCCUAAUACAUGCAAGUCGAGCGAACAGACGAGGAGCUUGCUCCUCUGACGUUAGCGGCGGACGGGUGAGUAACACGUGGAUAACCUACCUAUAAGACUGGGAUAACUUCGGGAAACCGGAGCUAAUACCGGAUAACAUGUUGAACCGCAUGGUUUAACAGUGAAAGACGGUCUUGCUGUCACUUAUAGAUGGAUCCGCGCCGCAUUAGCUAGUUGGUAAGGUAACGGCUUACCAAGGCAACGAUGCGUAGCCGACCUGAGAGGGUGAUCGGCCACACUGGAACUGAGACACGGUCCAGACUCCUACGGGAGGCAGCAGUAGGGAAUCUUCCGCAAUGGGCGAAAGCCUGACGGGGCAACGCCGCGUGAGUGAAGAAGGUCUUCGGAUCGUAAAACUCUGUUAUUAGGGAAGAACAAAUGUGUAAGUAACUAUGCACGUCUUGACGGUACCUAAUCAGAAAGCCACGGCUAACUACGUG